AAGACUUCUUAGACUCGGAGAAGAUAUGCCUGGACUGGGUCGUGGCCACCUACAGAUGCUCCUGCAGUGGAAACAGCAGAAAAAGUCUAUAUUUCUUCCCUGGCACUGUUAAAAAUGUUAAAGCACGGAGAUGCUGGAGUUCCAAUGGAAGUUACGGGUCUGAAGCUUGGAGAAUUUGUUGAUUAUUAUACCAUCAGAGUGAUUGACAUGUUGGCUAUGCCAUAGGUGUCAGUGUGGAGGCAUUUGAUCUAAUGUUCCAAGCUAAAACGUGAAUAUAUUGAAUCAGACAGGAAAGCCUGAGAUGGUUACUGGUUGUCAUCACAGUCACUUGGCUUGGUUGCUGGGGUUUCUGGGGUGGAUAUCAGUACUCAGCCGAGUUUUGAAGGCUUGUCAGAGGGAGCUUUGACGGUGGUUGUGGAUUCCAUUCGGAGUGUAAAAGGGAAGGUUGUUAGUGAUGCCUUCAGGUUAAUCAAUGCUAAUAUGAUGGUCUUGGUACAUGAACCAAGACUAACAACUUCAAAUAUGAGUCACUUAAACAAGCCAUCUAUCCAGGCAAUAAUUGAUGGAUGAAACAGACAUUAUUACUCUAUUACUGUUAACUAUCAGAAAAAUAAACUGGAAUAGAAGAUGUUGCUAAAUUUGCAUAAGAAGAGUUGAAUGGAAGGUUUGACACUUCAGGAUUACAAUGAACAUUAUAAAUGCAAUGAUUUAGUAUUAAAAUAGAUGCUGGAAUUGGCCAAGAAUUACAAAAAGGCUGUAGAUGAAGAAGAUGAGAUGACACCUAAACAGCUGGCAAUAGGGUGUUGGCUAGCAGAACACUAAUGUCACUUGGAGGAACAAGUGGAUUUAGUCAUGACUUCAAAUAUUGUUUAGCAACUAUGUUGAAUACUGUUGUAUUUAA
rnacentral:lncRNA from 1 species